UACGUAGGGGGCUAGCGUUGUCCGGAAUCAUUGGGCGUAAAGCGCGUGUAGGCGGUCCGGUAAGUCCGCUGUGAAAGUCGGGGGCUCAACCCUCGGAUGCCGGUGGAUACUGUCGGGCUUGAGUACGGAAGAGGCGAGUGGAAUUCCUGGUGUAGCGGUGAAAUGCGCAGAUAUCAGGAGGAACACCCGUGGCGAAGGCGGCUCUCUGGGACGGUACUGACGCUGAGACGCGAAAGCGUGGGGAGCGAACAGG
rnacentral:rRNA from 1 species